CUUCUCAAGGGAUACCUGAUUUUCCUGGUUUACGUUCUACUGUCUGGAAGCUUCUGCUAGGUUAUCUACCACCUGAUCAUGCCCUUUGGUCCUCUGAAUUGGCAAAGAAGAGGUCACAAUACAAACGUUUCAAACAAGACAUUCUUAUCAAUCCUUCAGAAAUCACGAGGAGGAUGUGGGACUCUGCUGAUUAUGAUGCUGA